rnacentral:rRNA from 1 species
UUCUACGGGAGGCAGCAGUGGGGAAUAUUGGGCAAUGGAGGAAACUCUGACCCAGCGACGCCGCGUGCGGGAUGAAGGCCUUCGGGUUGUAAACCGCUUUCAGUAGGGAAGAAGCGAAAGUGACGGUACCUACAAAAGAAGCACCGGCUAACUAUGUGCCAGCAGCCGCGGUAAUACAUAGGGUGCAAGCGUUGUCCGGAAUUAUUGGGCGUAAAGAGCUCGUAGGUCGUUUGUUACGUCGGAUGUGAAAACCUGAGGCUCAACCUCAGGCCUGCAUUCGAUACGGGCAAACUAGAGUUUGGUAGGGGAGACUGGAAUUCCUGGUGUAGCGGUGGAAUGCGCAGAUAUCAGGAGGAACACCAAUGGCGAAGGCAGGUCUCUGGGCCAAUACUGACACUGAGGAGCGAAAGUCUGGGGAGCGAACAGGAUUAGAUACCCUGGUAGUCCAGACCGUAAACGGUGGGCACUAGUUGUGGGAACCUUCCACGGUUUCUGCGACGCAGCUAACGCAUUAAGUGCCCCGCCUGGGGAGUACGAUCGCAAGAUUAAAACUCAAAGGAAUUGACGGAA